rnacentral:rRNA from 1 species
AACGAACGCUGGCGGCAUGCCUAACACAUGCAAGUCGAACGAGACCUUCGGGUCUAGUGGCGCACGGGUGCGUAACGCGUGGGAACCUGCCCUUAGGUUCGGAAUAAAUCCCCGAAAGGGGUGCUAAUACCGGAUAAUGUCUUCGGACCAAAGAUUUAUCGCCUGUGGAUGGGCCCGCGUUGGAUUAGCUAGUUGGUAGGGUAAAAGCCUACCAAGGCGACGAUCCAUAGCUGGUCUGAGAGGAGGGUCAGCCACACUGGGACUGAGACACGGCCCAGACUCCUACGGGAGGCAGCAGUGGGGAAUAUUGGACAAUGGGCGAAAGCCUGAUCCAGCAAUGCCGCGUGAGUGAUGAAGGCCUUAGGGUUGUAAAGCUCUUUUACCCGGGAUGAUAAUGACAUUACCGGGAGAAUAAGCUCCGGCUAACUCCGUG